rnacentral:rRNA from 1 species
CAGUCGCCACGGUAAUACGAAGGGGGCUAGCGUUGCUCGGAAUCACUGGGCGUAAAGGGUGCGUAGGCGGGUCUUUAAGUCAGGGGUGAAAUCCUGGAGCUCAACUCCAGAACUGCCUUUGAUACUGAAGAUCUUGAGUUCGGGAGAGGUGAGUGGAACUGCGAGUGUAGAGGUGAAAUUCGUAGAUAUUCGCAAGAACACCAGUGGCGAAGGCGGCUCACUGGCCCGAUACUGACGCUGAGGCACGAAAGCGUGGGAGCAAACAGGAUUAGAUACCCCCGUAGUCCCUGUCUCUUAUACA